GUGCUCGCUUCGGCAGCACAUAUACUAAAAUUGGAACGAUACAGAGAAGAUUAGCAUGGCCCCUGCGCAGUGGUAUAUUCAAUACGCCAAAAACCGGUAGCAAUGAUG